AAGAGAUCGGGAUAACACCUGGAAACAAGAUGCUAAUACCGGAUAACAACAGAUGAUGCCUAUCAACUGUUUAAAAGAUGGUUCUGCUAUCACUCUUGGAUGGACCUGCGGUGCAUUAGCUAGUUGGUAGGGUAACGGCCUACCAAGGCGAUGAUGCAUAGCCGAGUUGAGAGACUGAUCGGCCACAUUGGGACUGAGACACGGCCCAAACUCCUACGGGAGGCAGCAGCC
rnacentral:rRNA from 1 species